rnacentral:tRNA from 1 species
ACCUGGCUGGCUCAGUCAGUAGAGCAUGUGUCUCUUAAUCUCAGGGUUGUGGGUUUGAGUCCUACGUUGGAUA